ACCCAACUUUUUCUGGAAGAACCGUGCUGACUUCAAAAUAACCACAAUUUCAGAAGCUACAUAUAAACUUGUAUUUAUAGCCUCUUCAUUGAGAAGUGCCAGAAUACAAUUCCUCUUAACACACGCGUUGCAGUCAGAAGCCAUUUCCCUCGCCACUAACAUUUCUACGGCAAAUCACAUCAAAAUAAUCUCGGUGUUGUUAAGGUAUAAGUGCAGCGCACGCCGGCAAUUAAAGUUUUACCCUAAAACGGAGCCGAAGUUGCACAAUUUUUUUACGGUGCUUUACGAGCCCUGCGAGAAGUCCUUUCACCGCGCGCGGCACAUCCUAUGGCGCUUGGCACCAAACCAGUCCUGCGUGCGGUGACUCAUUUUUCUGACUGUCAAAACCAGAAAGAGAUAGCCAGGAACGAUGUUCUGGCGAGGAGGAAUAGCUGCGAGGAGCCGGCCCUGUAAUUCGGCAGCAAAUUUUUGAACAGAAGUGGAAACUCGGAAGAAAAGUCUGUGGACUGCCAGUACCACAACGGAGGCAAGAGCCGAUGAAAGCUUUGGGGCCUUCCGUGUGGGCGGCUACCCGUGAGGAGCAGCAGCACAUCCCUUAAUAUGAGAACCUGGUGUAUGGACACUGCUUCUGUUUGGACUGAAAACAGACUUCCCUGAGGGCUGUUACACCUUUAGCUGACACUAAUUUUAGUACAGCUCUGGGAUGCUGGCGGCCGGGGGAGAAGGACUGGAAGGGAAGAACGUGGAAGGAGAGCAGAGAUCUCAGAAAUAACCCAGCGCUCACAGGUUAAAUAAAAGAGACAACCGAAUUGAGGAGCAGCUUGGUGCUUUCACCUGGAGGAAGAGGGGGAGCAGGAGCUCAGCCCUUUCUGGACACCAGAGGACAACAGCCAUGUCCUGAUGGCCAGGAUGGCAUCAAUCAACUCUUGCCAUCAACCAACUCAGUCAACCAUGAGUCCGACAUGUGGGACAACCCUAGUUCCAUUCACUGCUGUAUUCUCUAAACCCUGUGCUCUCUUUCACCCUCUUCCAAAAUAAGAGCAAGGGUUAUUGAAGUCAAGUG